rnacentral:rRNA from 1 species
UGGGGAAUCUUGGACAAUGGGGGCAACCCUGAUCCAGCCAUGCCGCGUGAGUGAUGAAGGCCUUAGGGUCGUAAAGCUCUUUCGCCUGUGAAGAUAAUGACGGUAGCAGGUAAAGAAACCCCGGCUAACUCCGUGCCAGCAGCCGCGGUAAUACGGAGGGGGUUAGCGUUGUUCGGAAUUACUGGGCGUAAAGCGCACGUAGGCGGACCAGAAAGUUGGGGGUGAAAUCCCGGGGGCUCAACCCCGGAACUGCCUCCAAAACUAUUGGUCUAGAGUUCGAGAGAGGUGAGUGGAAUUCCAAGUGUAGAGGUGAAAUUCGUAGAUAUUUGGAGGAACACCAGUGGCGAAGGCGGCUCACUGGCUCGAUACUGACGCUGAGGUGCGAAAGUGUGGGGAGCAAAACAGGAUUAGAUACCCUGGUAGUCCACACCGUAAAACGAUGUCUGCUAGUCGUUGGGGAGCAUAGCUCUUCGGUGACGCAGCUAACGCAUUAAGCAGACCGCCUGGGGAGUACGGCCGCAAGGUUAAAACUCAAAAUG